rnacentral:rRNA from 1 species
UGAGGAAUAUUGGUCAAUGGGCGAAAGCCUGAACCAGCCAAGUCGCGUGGAGGAAGACGGCCCUACGGGUUGUAAACUUCUUUUACCUGGGAAUAACGGGCGCUACGUGUAGCGCUGUGCAUGUACCAGGCGAAUAAGCAUCGGCUAAUUCCGUGCCAGCAGCCGCGGUAAUACGGAAGAUGCGAGCGUUAUCCGGAUUUAUUGGGUUUAAAGGGUGCGUAGGCGGAAGGAUAAGUCAGCGGUGAAAUGCUUCAGCUCAACUGGAGAAUUGCCGAUGAAACUGUUUUUCUAGAGUAUAAAAGAGGUAUGCGGAAUGCGUGGUGUAGCGGUGAAAUGCAUAGAUAUCACGCAGAACCCCGAUUGCGAAGGCAGCAUACUGGGCUAUAACUGACGCUGAAGCACGAAAGCGUGGGUAUCGAACA